CACUAAGAAGCUAAUAUUGGUCUAGCGUUAGCCUUUUAAGCUAAAGAAUGGUGCCUCCAAAACACCCUUAGUGG
rnacentral:tRNA from 1 species